rnacentral:lncRNA from 10 species
GCUUAAUGUGUACCAUUUAAAGCAAGAGGCCACUUUUUCAUAUUCUAAAAAGCCUCUAAGUAAAGAAUGCACAUCUCUAAUGGUACUACUAUGGUCUGAAUGUUUGCAUCCCUCCAAAGUUUAUAUGUUGAAACUUAAUCUCCAAGGUGAUGGUAAUGGAAAAUGGUGCCUUUGGGGGGUGAUUAGGCAGAGCUCUCAUGAAUAGGAUUAAUGCCUUUAUAAAAGAGACUUCAGAGAGCUAGCUUAGCCCCUUGUACCAUGUAAGGAUGCAUGAGAAAGUGCCGUCUAUGAAACAGGCAGUAGGCCCUCCCCAGACACCAAAUCUGUUGGUGCCUUGAUUUUGGACUUUCCAGCCUCCAGAACUAUAGGAAAUAAAUUUCUGUUGUUUAUAAGCCAGCCAGCUAAUGAUAAUGUCAUAGCAUCCCAAACAGACCAAGAAAGGUACUUUUAGUUUCAUUUGUUGUUAGCACUCAAAAUAUCAGUAAAAAUCCAACUCACUGACCAGUACCUAGAUCUCUGUAUUGCAAGGGUUCUUUUACAGUAUGAAUGAAGUUGCCUUGAAGGUGAUUUUGUUCCCAGCAUUUCUGUGGCAUUUACAUUCUAGAUUGAGCUAUCGUAAUUAAUUGAAUAUUAUUCAUCAGAUGAUUGUGACUUUGGGCUAUUUUUCCUGCAGGUGGCACCUGAGCAGCUCUUACUAGAUCAUUGUGAUUGGCGGCAUUGUUUCGAGUGGCAAAAGGCUAGAAGCAACUUCUAUAUCCUAGAGAGGGGCAGUCUGAAGCAACCGUGAGCCACCUUUCCAAUGGACUAGUGAACAGUUGCAAAAAUAGAAGCAAAAAGAAGGAUGUUCUGUGUGACUUCUGCAGUGCAAUUUCUGAUCUGGUGACAAGACUGCUGUAAACAGCUGGCCCACAGUGCAUCCAUGCAAUGGAGGCUGAUCUCUAGUUCUUCUGGUUGGUGGGCAGCUCUCCCAUGGGGACUGCACCCGUUUUCUCUUCUGAUCCCAUUGUCCUCUAAGGCCUCGUUGUCUGCAUCGAGCUGAUGGAAUGGAACAGAGGCAUGGUAGAGGCAGAGUUGUUUCUGAAAGUCUUUGACGUGAAAGCGCGCAUGCCUUCUACUCCCAUUCUACAUGAAAGAACUGCUCAUAUGUACAUAUUCAGAUUCAAGGAAGGCUGGGAAAUGCGAUUCUGGCUGAGCAGCUGCUUUUGAACUGUGACUGUUUCCUAGGAAAGGAGAGAAUACGUUUGCUGAACACCUAGCUGCCUCUGCUACCAUCUCAUUUACUUAUCAUUACAUGAAAAAGCAAGAUGCAUAAUAUUGUUACUGUGCCGGCUAUUUGUCUAAAGAGGCGUGGCGUAUAUAUCUGUACCUAUAUAUGCAGCUCCCAUGCUGACCUAUGGGAGAGGACUUUUGGGAAUUAGUAAAUGGGAGAUGAAACAGAAGAGAAACUUCACUACACUGUAUACUCUCGUAGGUGUUUGAGAUGCUACCAAUGGAAAUUAAAUUACCUACUCGGAGAGCAAAAUAAAUUUAAGAUGUUAAAAAAAAAGAGAGAAUGCCACCAAUCUGGACAGAAGGUAAAGAACAUGACUCCCAGACACACUGUAGACCCAUCUGGCUCAGGGCCAUCCCAUCCCACAAGCAGCGUGGGAGUGGAUGAAGCCAUCUGGGAGCCCCCGUCAGGAGCUGCAGUCUUGAAGACUGUGAGCAAAGCGUAGGCGAAAAUGUACCAGAACUGAUGUCAUUAAAAGAAAGCUGCUUUUCUUUGCUCAGAGAAAAGAGGCAGAAGUUUAUAGAAAGAAGAUCUCACUUCGUGUGAUCUGUGAAAUAUACAUAAGCAAAGCAGGUAUAUUUUCAUAGCUUUUAUGUAAAUGUAUGUUUCUUAUUGACCCCAGUGGAAAGAAGGUCUCUUCACCACAGAAAAUGAAACAUCAAUGUCACUUUGCAUGGUAAAUGUCUCCCACAGCGUCCGCCUCUGGGUUUAGGAAAAGUAGGGUAUCAAUAGACAGCUAAAGAAGGAGUUGCUGGCCGGCUACUGCCUACAAGAAGAAGUGUGUCAAGGAUAUUUCAUCCCCAUUUUCAAGAAUUUUUGCCUAUAGGACUCCCAGGAGCACAGGAGCCCACUACAAGGAAGGUUAUACAAAGAAGUCUCUCUGUGAUAAGAGCAACAGCUGCAAAGAUGGCGGCUCACUACCUCCAUAGUGUGGUCGGUUCAUGCAACCCCAGACGCUAACCGAGAGUGCCUGCCUUUCCCAUGGGAAGGAUGUGAAGACGGUCCCAGGAGGCACGCCCUCUACAUUUCCGGGAGUCAGGCUUUCAGAGGGGACUGGAAGAACGUUUUUCACAGUUUGGCAAAAGAUUGUCUUAAGCACUGUUGAUUGAUUGUCUCUGCCCCCAUCAAUGUUGUGAUUAUCCAAGAGAUAUAAUAAAGGGCUCUCUUUAUCACAGUUACUUAUAAUGUGCCCUUUUCCUAACUGCCCAGCAUUCUCUACUAGAUGUGCCAGAAUUCCUCCAGUGGGCCCACCGGGAACAUGCAUGUGAUGUCAGUUCUGUGGAAAGUGCCUGACUUUGCAUUUCUGGUGUGCCAGCAUCCGCUAAGAUCUUGUAGGAAUAAUCACAAUUUGCAUCCUCAAGAGGUACCAUAACUCAAGGGGGAGACAAAUAUUGAAAUUAAUAGGAUCAGUUGUGAUACGUGCUAUGAUAAAAGCAGAGACUUCUCCCAGAUUCUCUGUUUCAGGCAUCCAUAAAAUUACAAAUGUAAUACAGCACAAACUGGCCAUCAUUUACCUUGUCAAGAAAGUUAUUAAAUAAAAUCUGUCACAAUCACCACCAUUUC